ACUCAAAGGAAUAGACGGGGGCUCACACAAGCGGUGGAGGAUGUGGUUUAAUUCGAAGCAACGCGAAGAACCUUACCAGGUUUUGACAUUCCGGGAUUAAUCCGAUGAAAGUCGGAGGAUUGCUGUAAAAGGUGUAACCGGAACAGGUGCUGCAUGGCUGUCGUCAGCUCGUGCCGUGAGGUGUUAGGUUAAGUCCUUUAACGAGCGAAACCCCUACGGUUAGUUACCAGCGCGUAAUGGCGGGGACUCUAGCCGGACUGCCGCGAAAGUAGGAGGAAGGUGGGGACGACGUCAAGUCAUCAUGGCCUUUAUAAUCUGGGCUACACACGUCCUACAAUGGGUGGUACAAAGGGUAGCGAAACCGCAAGGUGGAGCCAAUCCUCAAAAGCCAUCCUCAGUUCAGAUUGUGGGCUGCAAUUCGCCCACAUGAAGCUGGAAUCGCUAGUAAUCGCGGAUCAGCUACGCCGCGGUGAAUAUGUUCCUGAGCCUUGCACACACCGCCCGU
rnacentral:rRNA from 1 species